rnacentral:rRNA from 1 species
UACGAAGGGGGCUAGCGUUGCUCGGAAUCACUGGGCGUAAAGGGCGUGUAGGCGGGAAGGAAAGUCAGAUGUGAAAUCCCUGGGCUCAACCCAGGAACUGCAUUUGAAACUCCCUUUCUUGAGUGUCGGAGAGGAAAGCGGAAUUCCUGGUGUAGAGGUGAAAUUCGUAGAUAUCAGGAGGAACACCGGUGGCGAAGGCGGCUUUCUGGACGACAACUGACGCUGAGACGCGAAAGCGUGGGGAGCAAACAGG